rnacentral:rRNA from 1 species
AGUGAACGCUGGCGGUAGGCCUAACACAUGCAAGUCGAACGGCAGCACAGUAAGAGCUUGCUCUUACGGGUGGCGAGUGGCGGACGGGUGAGGAAUACAUCGGAAUCUACUUUUUCGUGGGGGAUAACGUAGGGAAACUUACGCUAAUACCGCAUACGACCUACGGGUGAAAGCAGGAGAUCUUCGGACCUUGCGCGAUUGAAUGAGCCGAUGUCGGAUUAGCUAGUUGGCGUGGUAAAGGCCCACCAAGGCGACGAUCCGUAGCUGGUCUGAGAGGAUGAUCAGCCACACUGGAACUGAGACACGGUCCAGACUCCUACGGGAGGCAGCAGUGGGGAAUAUUGGACAAUGGGCGCAAGCCUGAUCCAGCCAUACCGCGUGGGUGAAGAAGGCCUUCGGGUUGUAAAGCCCUUUUGUUGGGAAAGAAAAGCAGCAGGUUAAUACCCCGCUGUUCUGACGGUACCCAAAGAAUAAGCACCGGCUAACUUCGUG